ACGGAUGUGGCGGAAUUCGGUAGACGCGCUAGACUUAGGAUCUAGUACCGUGAGGUGUGGGGGUUCGAGUCCCUUCAUCCGUA
rnacentral:tRNA from 1 species